rnacentral:rRNA from 1 species
GGUAAUUCCAGCUCCAAUAGUUUAUAUUAAAGUUGUUGUGGUUAAAAAGCUCGUAGUUGGAACCUGGCAUGCAGGGGGCGGUCCAUUAUUUGAUGCGACUGCCCCAUUUGCGUGUUUUUUUAGGCGGAAUUCCUUGGGUGCUCUUCACCGAGUGUCCUUGGAGGCCGCCAGGUUUACUUUGAAAAAAUUAGAGUGCUCCAAGCAGGCUCUACACGCCUGAAUAUUCGUGCAUGGAAUAAUGGAAUAGGACGUCGUUCCUAUUUUGUUGGUUUUAGGGAUUCGACGUAAUGAUUAAUAGGGACAGCCGGGGGCAUUAGUAUGCAGACGACAGAGGUGAAAUUCUUGGACCGUCUGCCGACUAACUACUGCGAAAGCAUUUGCCAAGAGUGUUUUCAUUAAUCAAGAACGAAAGUUAGAGGUUCGAAGGCGAUCAGAUACCGCCCUAGUUCUAACCAUAAACGAUGCCAGCUAGCGAUCUGCAGGCGUUUUUUUUGUAGGCCCUGCAGGAAGCUUCCGGGAAACCAAAGCAUUUGGGUUCCAGGGGAAGUAUGGUUGCAAAGCUGAAACUUAAAGGAAUUGACGGAAGGGCACCACCAGGCGUGGAGCUUGCGGCUUAAUUUGACUCAACACUGGAAAUCUCACCAGGCCCGGACACCGGCAGGAUUGACAGAUUGAGAGCUCUUUCUCGAUUCGGUGGGUGGUGGUGCAUG